UACGAAGGGGGCUAGCGUUGCUCGGAAUUACUGGGCGUAAAGCGUGCGCAGGCGGUUUUGUAAGUCUGAUGUGAAAGCCCCGGGCUCAACCUGGGAACUGCAUUGGAAACUAACGGGCUCGAGUGUGGCAGAGGGGGGUAGAAUUCCACGUGUAGCAGUGAAAUGCGUAGAGAUGUGGAGGAACACCGAUGGCGAAGGCAGCCCCCUGGGUCAAGAUUGACGCUCAUGCACGAAAGCGUGGGGAGCAAACAGG
rnacentral:rRNA from 1 species